rnacentral:rRNA from 1 species
AUUGAACGCUGGCGGCAGGCCUAACACAUGCAAGUCGAGCGGAUGAAGGGAGCUUGCUCCUAGAUUCAGCGGCGGACGGGUGAGUAAUGCCUAGGAAUCUGCCUGGUAGUGGGGGAUAACGUCCGGAAACGGGCGCUAAUACCGCAUACGUCCUGAGGGAGAAAGUGGGGGAUCUUCGGACCUCACGCUAUCAGAUGAGCCUAGGUCGGAUUAGCUAGUUGGUGGGGUAAAGGCCUACCAAGGCGACGAUCCGUAACUGGUCUGAGAGGAUGAUCAGUCACACUGGAACUGAGACACGGUCCAGACUUCUACGGGAGGCAGCAGUGGGGAAUAUUGGACAAUGGGCGAAAGCCUGAUCCAGCCAUGCCGCGUGUGUGAAGAAGGUCUUCGGAUUGUAAAGCACUUUAAGUUGGGAGGAAGGGCAGUAAGUUAAUACCUUGCUGUUUUGACGUUACCAACAGAAUAAGCACCGGCUAACUUCGUG